AAAGAUUUCACCUUCUUGAGAAAAGAUUGUCGAAGGAUGCUUGCCUCAAAAGCCAAUACCACGACUUCAUGCAGGAAUAUUUAGACCUGGGGCACAUGGCUGUUGUUUCUGAAAAUCAAGAAAAAAAAAUCGGUGCAUAUUAUCUUCCACAUCAUCCGGUGUUGAAAGAGUCCAGUUCUACUACGAAACUGAGAGUUGUUUUCGACGCCUCUGCUAAAACUACGACUGGAAGGUCAUUGAACGAAGCUCUGCUAGUUGGUCCCGUGGUUCAGGAGGAGUUGCUAACUUUAGUAAUUCGUUUCCGAAAAUAUCGUGUAGCUAUUGUCGCUGACAUAGCAAAGAUGUACCGACAAGUAACAAUGCAUCCAGAUGAUCGGCAUCUGCAACGUAUUUUAUGGAGAUUUGACAAUGCUCAGCCCAUCCGAUCAUACGAACUAAGCACAGUGACAUAUGGCUUGGCACCCUCAGCAUUCUUAGCAACACGCACAUUGUUACAGCUUGCUCAUGAUGAAGGUAAGCAAUACCCCAAAGCCAGUGCCGCUGUGAAACAAAACCUGUAUGUGGAUGAUCUACUAGCAGGAGCGGGAAGUAUUGCAGAAGCAAAAGAACUGCGUGAUCAACUCAAUGCUCUUCUCGAAAAAGGUGGAUUUUGUCUUCGAAAGUGGUGUUCCAAUUCGCUAGAGGUGCUAGCGGAUCUCCCUGCAGAACUUCUUGGAACACAAUCCGCCAUAAAGUUUGAAGCUGAAGAAAGCAUCAAGACACUGGGCAUUUGCUGGGAACCCGAAGCAGAUUCAUUUCGUAUGAAUGUCUCUAUUGAAAACAAGUCCACUAUUCACACAAAACGCAGUAUAUUGUCAUCAAUAGCUCAACUCUAUGAUCCCCUCGGUCUUAUUACACCAGUGACUAUACGUGCGAAAAUCAUCAUGCAACAAUUGUGGUUGCAGAGCUUGGACUGGGAUGUGCCAGUUCCUCAUAAGUUGCAAGAAAAGUGGACAGAAUUUCUGCAACAAAUAGCAAACUUAGCACAAUUUCGCAUAGCUAGGUUUGCAUUCAUACCAGAACAUCAGCAUGCAGAGCUACAUUGCUUUGUUGAUGCUUCUGAAGUGGCCUAUGGUGCAUGCAUAUACAUCAGAUCAAUCGACAGCAACGGUUCAAUAUGCAUAACAUUAUUAGCGUCGAAAUCAAGAGUGGCUCCACUGAAACCUUUAACAAUUCCGCGAUUAGAGCUGUCUGCCGCCUUGCUUGGAGCUCGACUCUACCAAAAGGUGGUGUAUGCAUUAGACACCAAAUUCGACGAGUGUUUCUUUUGGUCUGAUUCAACUGUUACGCUUCAGUGGCUCAAGGCAGCUCCCAGAACAUGGAAACCGUUUGUGGCCAAACGGGUAGCUGAAGUACAAGACAUAACACAUGGUGCGCAGUGGCAACAUGUCUCCGGAAAAGAAAACCCAGCCGAUAUGAUCUCUCGGGGUAUAUCAACAGUCGAGCUUCUAAACAGUGAUCUAUGGAGAAAUGGUCCCUCGUGGCUUGGCGGAGUCAAAUCAUCUUGGCCUUCUCAACACUUCGGCGAGAAAGGUGAAACAGAGUUGGAGAAAAGAGCCAUCGUUCUCACGGCUCAAGUUGCUGAGACGGAUCUAAUCUUCAAGCGAUUUUCAUCGUUUCAACGGCUGUUAAGGGUUUUUGGAUUCUGUGUUAGAUUCAUCAACAAUAUUCGCAAGCGUGAACCAAAACAGUUUUCGUCUUCGUUAACAGUGAAAGAGUUACAGUCGGCUAAAACGAUCCUGUUCCAUAUGGUGCAAAGAGAAGUGUUUUCAGACGAUAUUCGCGCUAUCACAAAGGGAAAGUGUCUAACAAAGAGCUCAUCCAUUCGAUUGUUGAAUCCAUUCCUCGAUUCUUGUGGAUUAUUACGCGUUGGUGGCCGGUUGCGUGAAUCAAAUAUGGCAUUUGAUGGGAAGCAUCCAGUUCUUUUGCCAGCAUUUCACCCAUUUACGCGUCUUUUGAUCAGGGAUCAGCAUCAUAAAACAUUACACGGUGGAGUUACAAUGACCCUUUCGUCCCUGCGUGAUGAAGUGUGGAUUCUGAAUGGCAUGCGGGCCGUUCGUAGUGUACUUCGAACCUGCUAUCGGUGCAUAAGGGCCAAUCCAGUUCCAAUAGCACAACCUAUUGGUCAGCUACCAGUGUCACGUGUUACGGUAAACGAAGUGUUCGCUUGCGUUGGAAUCGAUUACUGUGGACCGUUUUAUUUGCGCCCAACACACCGUAAGGCAGCUUCUCCCAAGUGUUACGUGUCAGUGUUUGUUUGUAUGAGCACAAAGGCUGUUCAUUUAGAACUCGUUAGUGAUCUGAGUACCCCUUCUUUCUUAAUGGCGCUGGAUAGAUUUGUGGCCAGAAGGGGCAAGCCGAAGCAUUUGUAUUCCGACAAUGGCACUAAUUUCGUAGGUGCCAAACAUGCCUUGCACGAACUAUACGUUCUUCUUCAGCGUGACAGUGAAAAAAUCAGUGACUAUAUGGCCAAAGACAGUAUCCAGUGGCAUAUGAUUCCACCUCGCGCUCCCAACUUCGGCGGCUUAUGGGAAGCUGCAGUAAAGGUGGCAAAAACUCACUUAGUACGUCAGCUUGGUGCAGCUCAGUUGGCUUACGAAGCUAUGAUUACUAUCUUAGCAAAGAUAGAAGGCCAUAUGAAUUCCAGACCUCUUGUCCCCCUUUCACAAGAUCCUAAUGACCUAGAGGCGUUAACUCCUGCACAUUUUUUGAUGCUCAAGAAACCACAAGUAAUUCCCGAACCUGAACUAUCCCAUCUCCCGCUUAAUCGCCUGUCGCAGUAUCAGCUUGUUCAGAGAUAUGCCCAGGGUUUCUGGCACCGUUGGCGCAACGAGUAUGUGAAGUCGUUAAACGGUCAUCGCAACGUCAAACGGAGCAUUCAGGAGCUGAAUGUAGGUGAUUUGGUGAUAGUGAAAGACGAGCAAUUACCAGCAGUGAAGUGGCCUUUGGCGCGUAUAGUGGAAAAACAUCCUGGACCAGAUUCAGUGACACGUGUCGUGACUCUUCGUACAGCGAAUGGGAUCAUCAAACGUCCAGUUUCCAAAAUUUGUGCAUUGGAGUGUCAUCAGGAAGUGUAAAUUUUGGGAAAUGUAUUCCCAAAAGGUGGCCGGUAUGUUCGAUCCCGAACUAAAAUAACAAUAACAGUGGAUCCAGAGCACACAGGCACCAAUAAGAACAAUAACGAAUCCACGCCACACGUGCCGCCGUUUCCAUACUCGGCUUCCAAGAAGUCGAACCGUGUGGAGCGCUUUUGUCAAAGCGUUCCAGAAAGUGUGAGCUGCCGUGCGACGAGAAAGUGCUCGUCGCAGAAAUUUAGAACACUCGGCUUCUUUUCCGAAAGCUAUAAAAGAGGUGCUGAUCGCAAAGCGCGGUCAUUCUCGAUCACACCGCGGAGGGAAGCCAAGCCAAUCCAAUCGGCUCUUUUCAGAGCCACCUAAUAAUUGAAAGAGAAUAUUGGUUUCAACAAAAAAAAAAAAAAAAAAAACACAACGUAGGCCGUCUUCGGACGUAACACAGCCAAUAGACUGCAAUAUGGGAUGUAUAUGAGAUUUGUGUUUAAAUCAAAACCGAAUAACAUUGUCGUUGUUGUGCCGUAUUAAAACCUCUGUUCGGGGCCAAAGGUUGAAAGUAAAGUAUUGCAUCAAUUUCUUCGAAAAUCACACAACCACUUGCCACCUGAGAAGGCGCACACAAAUUUGUGGAAGGUUUUUGGGCUUUUUGGUUUUCUUUUUCUUACUCGUACUAAUAAGAAUGUCAUGAUGACAAACUGCUGCUGUUGGAUAUACGAUCACCCACGACCUGGCUGUCAGGCGCAGGUGAAUGUCAACGUUGCCAACGAAAAAACGUUGCCGGUAGAGGGUUUUCUUACUUUGGCGGAUUUUUCCAUUCGUUUCGUUUUUUUAUACGCUACCAAAAUAACACGACCCCGAACAAGGCCGCCCGCCCGUCCGAAUGGAACGAAUGGCGAAUUGAGCCGGUGCUUUGAGCUGAUGGAAGGGCAACUUUUGACCCAGCCCAAUCUCAGCCAUGACACCGGAUUAGACCCGGUGGCAAACGCAACCGUGCACACACAGUAAUGGGUAGAAAGAAUAUUUUAUUCCAGGCACACACUUUCGUUUUGUUACAUGGCACAUUUCCCAAAGCGACGGGCGCGCUUUCGAUCCCUCAGAAUGGCAUAGGUAUGUUUAAAUGGUAGACGGUGAUAAUAUCAGGAGAAAAGCCGAUUUUCCGCCUUAGCACCUUUUCCGUUUUAUGGUGAUAAAUGUAAACCGAUCGGCUAGUUCCCCGGCUAGCUGCUUGGCGCGAGCUUGGAAACAUUGGAAGUCUGUGACAUAUGCAAUAUUUUUGGAGGGAAGUUACGUAUUCAUCUGGAAGGAGACGCUAAAAGUUAGCCCGGGCUGAUUGCGCUAGGAAUAUUUGGAGUAAAAAAUUACUGGCGAAAUUUAUAGCCGACAACUAACACCCAUAAAUCUACCGGUUCAAGUCCAAUCAUUCUGCUCAGGUUCUGUUCUAUCUGCUUCUGUUCUAUCCUACAACUUCGUUAUGGUUGGGAAUCUCAAAAUGAUUCCCGAUUCUAGCUUAACUUACAAGCUUCUUCUCAAGAAUCACCCCAGUUUUCACAGCCAGCUCAGUAAUGCGCCGCUAUAAACUUGUUUUCAGCGUGUUGCAAAAGCAGCGUGCUAGUCUUUCAUUGUACUUCAAAACUUGAGAUUGCAAGUGUUUUGUAAUGCAUGACGAAAUGCAUGCUUACGACCACACAAACCCGCAACAACAACCGGUUAAAUGCAAGACGAUCGCGUGACAUCGGCCUAGUGCGAGUACGGCUCUAUUUUCGUUGUUGUUUAGAUAAAUUUAAUGAAAUGCUUAUGUGUAACGUUGUGAGCUAGCCGUGAGAUGGGUUUUUGAGCUACGGGAGCAACACGUGACGGGUUGUGUGCAUUUACUUAGCAGCAAUUAAAUUAAUAUCUCACGAAACUCUUCUAACAGUAAUCGCAUUGCUUGAACUCAAAGUCAACACUUGGAAAUAGGUUACCCAAAAAUCUAUGUCUCUCUGCAUAACUUCAAUCGAUGUUAGUCUCGUUCACUUGUUCAACAGGGUUGAUAGUAGUAGUUGUCGUAGUACCAGCAGCACCAACUCUUACAAUUUCGUUCGACGUUUCUUUCCCUCACCUUUUUCAUUGCUUCACAUCGCGCAACGAUCCGUUUUCCCCUCCCCUUCGUACCAUCUCGUAACGAUAAAACAAUCGAGCUGGCUCCAGGCCAGUACGACGACGACAUCGGCAACACCACCGGCAACUUCCCCCAACGCGACUGGAUUCGCUCGAGCAAUUUGAAUCGCCGUUGUAACAACUUAUCAGAAAAAACGACCACUUGUCGGUUCCAUCCAGCCAAACGAACUGAAUCCAUCCGUCACAAAGUACAAACCAAGGCACAUGCUGUGCACAACGAAACUGGAAACAUCAGCGCAGAGUGAUUCAGUAACUCAUCUUGCAUAAAAUUUAAUUAAAGCAUGUACAACAUGAGCGCGGCCAGCAUUCUCGAGCUUCAAACGUGGAUCGUGUACCAGCGCAUCGCAGUCGAGUGUGCGAACUGUCUGU